GGGCCGCUGGUCUAGUGGUAUGAUUCUCGUAAGUCAUGCGAGAGGUCCCGGGUUCAAUCCCCGGGUGGCCCC